rnacentral:sRNA from 1 species
UUUUAAACGUACGUGUAUUACUCAAUCUAUAAAGAAAAAAAAAUGCGUACAAUACCCACAUCUGAGAAAAGAGAGCUCAGAAAUGUGACAAUUUCAUCUGAGAAAUAAGAAUAAUGCGAAGGACCCAACCAUCACUACUGCCAAUUUCAUCACAGCUCAACUACACCGUCUGGGAUCGAACCCGGGUUAGAUAGU